rnacentral:pre_miRNA from 1 species
AGAAAAAUUGCUGGUUCAUAUGUCAAAUUUAUGUUCAUCUUUAAAAGAAACCUCCAAACUUCUUUCUAAAGUGGUUAUGCAAUUUUACAUUCCCCACAAGCAGU